rnacentral:rRNA from 1 species
UAGGGAAUCUUCGGCAAUGGACGAAAGUCUGACCGAGCAACGCCGCGUGAGUGAAGAAGGUUUUCGGAUCGUAAAACUCUGUUGUUAGAGAAGAACAAGGACGUUAGUAACUGAACGUCCCCUGACGGUAUCUAACCAGAAAGCCACGGCUAACUACGUGCCAGCAGCCGCGGUAAUACGUAGGUGGCAAGCGUUGUCCGGAUUUAUUGGGCGUAAAGCGAGCGCAGGCGGUUUCUUAAGUCUGAUGUGAAAGCCCCCGGCUCAACCGGGGAGGGUCAUUGGAAACUGGGAGACUUGAGUGCAGAAGAGGGGAGUGGAAUUCCAUGUGUAGCGGUGAAAUGCGUAGAUAUGUGGAGGAACACCAGUGGCGAAGGCGGCUCUCUGGUCUGUAACUGACGCUGGGGCUCGAAAGCGUGGGGAGCAAACAGG